UUAACUAACAUAAGACAAGUAUUAAGUUCUUUAACCAUUUAGUUUAAAAUUCGAUAUUCAACUUGUGUUCAUAGGAAAAUAUUUGUCGGAAGAAAUCAAUCCUUUACAUAUAUCUUAAUUAUCUCGAAGGACUAAUCACCAUUUUUGGCGUAAAUGAUACCUUGAUUUAUAUGAUAGACUAGUUUAUAAGACUUAACUCAACUAACAAAUGCCAAUUUUAUUAGUCUGAACACCCGUAUUUGAAUCUGAAUUCUUGCGGUUGUUUUAUAUGUAAGUUAGUUGUGAUGAAAAAAAGAUCAGAUCCUCAACAACCAAUUCGUUGAUAUGAAUUUAUAAAAAAAAUAAAGUUUGUACAAUGAAUUUAUAAAAUUUAUAUUAUUAUCAAAGACAAGCUAAUGUGGUAAUUAUUCAACUAAUAAAAAAAUGAUAAUUAUUCAAUUACUAAAAUUGCUAAAAGUGGCAAUUAAUUUAAUCUUAUGAAUAGUGCUUAAUUAACCCAAGACAAACAUAUAAACAUUUUAAAAAUAAGAAAAACCUUAAAGAAGAGUUUUGGUGAGCUUAACUCAGUGAAUAAGAACAUCUCAUUAUAGGUGCAGAUGUCGAAAUUCAAACUCGAAACACCCUAUUUAAAAUUUCUAGUUACUAUUUGACAAAAAAAAAACUUUAAAGAAGAAAAUAAAGGAUAUGCACUAAAGAGGAAUGAAUCUAUAGGUAGGUGAUGCAUUUGGAAAUAUAUUCCAACAAGUUGAUUGUGAUACUUACAUAGUUGUAGGUUUGAUGUUUGUUUUGUUUGGUGUUCCUCUAUUAAAAACAUGUAUGGUGUGCCUAAAAUUUUUUGACUUUGAUGCUAAACAAAGCUUGACAUGUUUGGCAACUUUCCAAGAAACUUCAAGUUCAUAGACUUCAACUUCAAUGUUCUUUGUGGUCAAUUAUUUCGGAUAAAAAAGGCAUAUAUUCUUUGAACUAAAUUGUAGUAUAUAUAGUAUAUGAAAAUGAAAGAAUAAUUAAUCUCUUCAUGGAAAAAAUUAAAUUAAUGGGUUAAUGUGAAUCAUGUGCAGGCCAAAUCCAUCUUAAUGCUAGCAAAUAAAAAGGAACAAGAAAAAGUGAAGACACCAACAGGGUCAGUGCCAACAACACCAACAAUUNNNNNNNNNNNNNNNNNNNNNNNNNNNUGCAACGUUUUCUACAGAAAAGAAAGAAUCGGAUCCAAGAAACAUCUCCAUAUAAUCACUAGCAAAAUCAAAUUAAUUUUUCCUUUUUUACUAUAGGAUAGCCUAUUUUGUAGUUAGGGUCAGUUAUUUUCUUUUCAUUUUUUAGUUAAAUAUUGUUAAUUUGAAAUAUCAGCUUCCAAAUUUUUAUCCAAUCAAUAUAUACCAAUUCCUAAUCAGAAAAAUUGCUCAAAAUAGUAUACAUAGUAGUAACCGAGAAGCAACCUUUACUGUCAUUAGCCCCCACUUUCUCAUCCAUGAUCCAUUCCAUUAUAGAUGGUUUCUUGAUUAACAAAAGUGAUUAUUAUUAUUUCUUGAUUAACAAUUGUAGAAUCUCCUCAUCAAUUGUAUAGCCCUGGUCCUGGUCUUUCAAUGAAGAGAUCUUUGCAACGUUUUCUACAAAAGAGAAAGAAUCGGANNN
rnacentral:lncRNA from 1 species